AACGAACGCUGGCGGCAUGCCUAACACAUGCAAGUCGAACGAGACCUUCGGGUCUAGUGGCGCACGGGUGCGUAACGCGUGGGAACCUGCCCUUAGGUUCGGAAUAACUCCCCGAAAGGGGUGCUAAUACCGGAUAAUGUCUUCGGACCAAAGAUUUAUCGCCUUUGGAUGGGCCCGCGUUGGAUUAGCUAGUUGGUAGGGUAAAAGCCUACCAAGGCGACGAUCCAUAGCUGGUCUGGGAGGAUGAUCAGCCACACUGGGACUGAGACAUGGCCCAGACUCCUACGGGAGGCAGCAGUGGGGAAUAUUGGACAAUGGGCGAAAGCCUGAUCCAGCAAUGCCGCGUGAGUGAUGAAGGCCUUAGGGUUGUAAAGCUCUUUUACCCGGGAUGAUAAUGACAGUACCGGGAGAAUAAGCGCCGGCUAACUCCGUG
rnacentral:rRNA from 1 species